rnacentral:ncRNA from 1 species
AAUCAGAAGUGUAGGUGACACAGGGCAGUUGUCACAUCGGAACUCUGCACCCGGAAGACUUGCAAAGGUGGACAGAUUGUUU